AUUGAACGCUGGCGGCAGGCCUAACACAUGCAAGUCGAACGAGUGGCGGACGGGUGAGUAAUGUCUGGGAAACUGCCUGAUGGAGGGGGAUAACUACUGGAAACGGUAGCUAAUACCGCAUACCAUCGGAUGUGCCCAGAUGGGAUUAGCUAGUAGGUGGGGUAAAGGCUCACCUAGGCGACGAUCCCUAGCUGGUCUGAGAGGGUGACCCGGCACACUGGAACUGCGAAACGGGCCAGACUCCUACGGGCGGCAGCAGUGGGUAAUAUUGCACAAGUGGCGCAAGCCUGAUGCAGCCAUGCCGCGUGUAUGAAGAAGGCCUUCGGGUUGUAAAGUACUGUCAGCGGGGAGGCGUUACCCGUAGAAGAAGCACCGGCUAACUCCGUGCCAGCAGCCGCGUUAAUAC
rnacentral:rRNA from 1 species